UACGUAGGGUCCGAGCGUUGUCCGGAAUUACUGGGCGUAAAGAGCUCGUAGGUGGUUUGUCGCGUUGUUCGUGAAAACCGGGGGGCUUAACCCUCGGCGUGCGGGCGAUACGGGCAGACUUGAGUACUGCAGGGGAGACUGGAAUUCCUGGUGUAGCGGUGGAAUGCGCAGAUAGUCAGGAGGAACACCGGUGGCGAAGGCGGG
rnacentral:rRNA from 1 species